rnacentral:lncRNA from 1 species
UUAAACAACUUAAGCUCUUAUACCAAUUGUAAGGGGGUGCGGAUAACUUGGGUAACUUAAAUAGAUCUAUUAUUAGUCUAAUAGAUCUAUUUUUGUUUGUGCGUGGAUAUUUCUUAACUUCUCUAAUCAUUUUUAUUUUUAGUUUAUUUAUUUUAAUUUUAUUAAUGUUCAUAUCUUGGGGGGUGAUUGGAUGGUAUUUGAUUAAAUGCUUUAC